UAAGGUUACUUGUUUUAUAGUUUUAUGAAAUGACCCCUUGAUUCAGGCUUUUGAUACAUUAAGAUUUUAUAACGCACGAUAUGUGCAAGGAGGUUUCAUAUUAUGAAACAAGGUACUGUUAAAUGGUUCAACGCUGAUAAAGGUUACGGUUUUAUCACUACUGAAGACGGUGACGUAUUUGUUCACUUCUCAGCUAUCAACAAAGAAGGUUUCAAGACUCUAGAAGAAGGCGAAAAGGUUACAUUGGACGUUGAAGACGGCGACCGUGGACCACAAGCUGCUAACGUUACUCCUGCAUAAGGAUAACCUCUUAGUUAACUUUUAGUUUAAAAAGAGAUCAAAAACACCCGAGAUUUUCUCGGGUGUUUUUUA
rnacentral:sRNA from 1 species